AGUGAACGCUGGCGGUAGGCCUAACACAUGCAAGUCGAACGGCAGCACAGUAAGAGCUUGCUCUUACGGGUGGCGAGUGGCGGACGGGUGAGGAAUACAUCGGAAUCUACUUUUUCGUGGGGGAUAACGUAGGGAAACUUACGCUAAUACCGCAUACGACCUACGGGUGAAAGCAGGGGAUCUUCGGACCUUGCGCGAUUGAAUGAGCCGAUGUCGGAUUAGCUAGUUGGCGGGGUAAGGGCCCACCAAGGCGACGAUCCGUAGCUGGUCUGAGAGGAUGAUCAGCCACACUGGAACUGAGACACGGUCCAGACUCCUACGGGAGGCAGCAGUGGGGAAUAUUGGACAAUGGGCGCAAGCCUGAUCCAGCCAUACCGCGUGGGUGAAGAUGGCCUUCGGGUUGUAAAGCCCUUUUGUUGGGAAAGAAAAGCAGCAGGUUAAUACCCCGCUGUUCUGACGGUACCCAAAGAAUAAGCACCGGCUAACUUCGUG
rnacentral:rRNA from 1 species